CAGGAGAGUAAUAUUUCCUUUCCCUUGUCCUUAGGAGCUCUCUGGGGAGGUUUGGAGGUGUAUUCAGCAACAGGACCAGAAGCAAUGGGUAUGAAAAUGAAACCACAAGUUCCACCUCACUGUGAGGAAGAAUUGCUUGGCAUCAAUCCAGGAGGGUGUGGAGUCUUCCCUGCCUGGAGACAUCCCAAUCCCACCUGGAAGAUCCUGAAUGGACUGCAUGGUCUCCAGAGCUCCUUUCCAAUCCCAGCUGCCCUGUGAGUGUGCCUCAAGAGUAUCUGGCCCUGCCAGGGAGUGCCUGUCCUGCAGUAACCUCAGCUGGGAUGUUUUGCCCACAGCAGGGGAACACACAGGUGGAAACUCAAACUGUCUGUGGACUGGAGAUGUACAAAUUUACAGAUUCCUUCCUGUCUCCUUCUAUGGGAGAGUUUUGGCCUCGAUAUCUUCUGCACUUGUCACCUCCCCUCCAGUUCUCCCAGUAAAAGCCCUCCAUGACCAAAGGCACCAAGGAUUUAUUUCCUUUGUGCUCAGACUGAGCCCACCCUCUGUGGGAGGACAUCUCUGACAACCUGUGGAGGCACAGGCCCGGAUUAACCAGCUGCUUUUGGGGUGAACUCCUCCAAUUAAGGAGGAACUCAGACAAAGGACAGAUGACAAAAGAGAUUUCUAUAUGGAAAUGAGAACCACAUGACAUGGAAAAGCUUAUCCACUGUAAUAAACUAAAGCAGAGCUCA